AUACUUUCUUCCUGGGGGGCAUACCAUAAUCAAGAAGGUGGUUUCACCAGGGUGAGGCUCUUCCAUUGCACAUUUUAUUUGGCUUGACCUCUGUGAUUUCCCCUUAUGUGGGAAACUCAACUGCAUAAUUUCUGUUAGUGGGGGACUGCAUUCGUGCAGUUCGAA